rnacentral:rRNA from 1 species
ACGAACGCUGGCGGCGUGCCUAAUACAUGCAAGUAGAACGCUGAAGAGAGGAGCUUACUCUUCUUGGAUGAGUUGCGAACGGGUGAGUAACGCGUAGGUAACCUGCCUUGUAGCGGGGGAUAACUAUUGGAAACGAUAGCUAAUACCGCAUAACAAUGGAUGACACAUGUCAUUUAUUUGAAAGGGGCAAUUGCUCCACUACAAGAUGGACCUGCGUUGUAUUAGCUAGUAGGUGAGGUAAUGGCUCACCUAGGCGACGAUACAUAGCCGACCUGAGAGGGUGAUCGGCCACACUGGGACUGAGACACGGCCCAGACUCCUGCGGGAGGCAGCAGUAGGGAAUCUUCGGCAAUGGGGGCAACCCUGACCGAGCAACGCCGCGUGAGUGAAGAAGGGUUUCGGAUCGUAAAGCUCUGUUGUAAGUCAAGAACGGGUGUGAGAGUGGAAAGUUCACACUGUGACGGUAGCUUACCAGAAAGGGACGGCUAACUACGUG